rnacentral:misc_RNA from 1 species
GAUGAAGAACGUAGUGAAAUGCGAUAAGUAAUGUGAAUUGCAGAAUUCAGUGAAUCAUCGAAUCUUUGAACGCACCUUGCGCCCCUUGGUUAUUCCAAAGGGCAUGCCUGUUUGAGUAUCAUGAACACCUCAACUCUUGUGGUUUCCCACAAUGAGCUUGGACUGUGGAGGUUUUGUUGGCCUUGUGGUCAGCUCCUCUCAAAUGGAUCAGCUUACCGGUGUUUGGUGGCAUUACGGGUGUGAUAACUAUCUACGCUCGUGGUCGUCUCCAAAUAACCUCCAGUGAUGGAGGUUCGCUGGAGCUUAUAAAUGUCUCUCCCCAGUGAAGACAGCCUUUGAACGUUCGAUCUCAAAUCAGGUAGGACUACCCGCUGAACUUAAGCAUAUCAAUAAGCGGAGGA